rnacentral:rRNA from 1 species
UGGGGGAUAUUGCACAAUGGGGGAAACCCUGAUGCAGCGACGCCGCGUGUAGGAAGACGGUCCUCUGGAUUGUAAACUACUGUCUUCAGGGACGAUAAUGACGGUACCUGAGGAGGAAGCUCCGGCUAACUACGUGCCAGCAGCCGCGGUAAUACGUAGGGAGCGAGCGUUGUCCGGAAUUACUGGGUGUAAAGGGAGCGUAGGCGGGGAGGCAAGUUGGAUGUGAAAACUAUCGGCUCAACUGAUAGACUGCAUUCAAAACUGUUUCUCUUGAGUGAAGUAGAGGCAGGCGGAAUUCCUAGUGUAGCGGUGAAAUGCGUAGAUAUUAGGAGGAACACCAGUGGCGAAGGCGGCCUGCUGGGCUUUUACUGACGCUGAGGCUCGAAAGUGUGGGGAGCAAACAGG